rnacentral:rRNA from 1 species
GCGCUGAAGUUGGUACUUGUACCAACUGGAUGAGCAGCGAACGGGUGAGUAACGCGUGGGGAAUCUGCCUUUGAGCGGGGGACAACAUUUGGAAACGAAUGCUAAUACCGCAUAAAAACUUUAAACACAAGUUUUAAGUUUGAAAGAUGCAAUUGCAUCACUCAAAGAUGAUCCCGCGUUGUAUUAGCUAGUUGGUGAGGUAAAGGCUCACCAAGGCGAUGAUACAUAGCCGACCUGAGAGGGUGAUCGGCCACAUUGGGACUGAGACACGGCCCAAACUCCUACGGGAGGCAGCAGUAGGGAAUCUUCGGCAAUGGACGAAAGUCUGACCGAGCAACGCCGCGUGAGUGAAGAAGGUUUUCGGAUCGUAAAACUCUGUUGGUAGAGAAGAACGUUGGUGAGAGUGGAAAGCUCAUCAAGUGACGGUAACUACCCAGAAAGGGACGGCUAACUACGUGCCAGCAGCCGCGGUAAUACGUAGGUCCCGAGCGUUGUCCGGAUUUAUUGGGCGUAAAGCGAGCGCAGGUGGUUUAUUAAGUCUGGUGUAAAAGGCAGUGGCUCAACCAUUGUAUGCAUUGGAAACUGGUAGACUUGAGUGCAGGAGAGGAGAGUGGAAUUCCAUGUGUAGCGGUGAAAUGCGUAGAUAUAUGGAGGAACACCGGUGGCGAAAGCGGCUCUCUGGCCUGUAACUGACACUGAGGCUCGAAAGCGUGGGGAGCAACAGGAUAGAUACCCUGGUAGUCACGCCGUAA